rnacentral:rRNA from 1 species
UGGAAAUAUUCAAGGUUNUAGCUGGNCUUUCGGGGUAANGUGCUCNCCUUGUUUUCAAUCCAAUUCACACCUGUGCACACUUUGUAGUNUUUUGGUAUUNUCUCUUUCGGGAGAUUAAACCAAGCUCUACGUAUUUUNACNCAUACACUUNUNAAGUUUAGAAUGUAAUACUUGUGAUAACACACAUUUAAAACAACUUUCAACAACGGAUCUCUUGGCUCUCGCAUCGAUGAAGAACGCAGCGAAAUGCGAUAAGUAAUGUGAAUUGCAGAAUUCAGUGAAUCAUCGAAUCUUUGAACGCACCUUGCGCUCCUUGGUAUUCCGAGGAGCAUGCCUGUUUGAGUGUCAUGAAUCUCUCAAACUUAUCAUUUCUUAAUUGAAUUGAUAUAGUUUGGAUUUGGAGGUCUUCUGCUGGCGCAAGUCAGCUCCUCUUAAAAGCAUUAGCUUGGGUCUUGUAUGUGGAUCCUUGGUGUGAUAAUUAUCUACGCCAUGAUGUCCCUUCAAAUUCAACCCUGCUUCUAAUCGUCUCUAACAAAGACAAUUAAACAUUUUGACAUCUGACCUCAAAUCAGGUAGGACUACCCGCUGAACUUAAGCAU